UACGUAGGGGGCUAGCGUUGUCCGGAUUUAUUGGGCGUAAAGAGCGUGUAGGCGGCCAGAUAGGUCUGCUGUGAAAACUCGAGGCUCAACCUCGAGAUGUCGGCGGAAACCAUUUGGCUAGAGUCCGGAAGAGGAAAGUGGAAUUCCUGGUGUAGCGGUGAAAUGCGCAGAUAUCAGGAGGAACACCAAUGGCGAAGGCAGCUCGCUGGGACGGUACUGACGCUGAGGCGCGAAAGCGUGGGGAGCAAACAGG
rnacentral:rRNA from 1 species